CCAGCAGAGCCAGGAAAAACUGCUCCGGGACAAGAUACUUCAUGUUGGAUGAAAGAUGAUUUCCUCUUGAGGACAAACAGACUGGCCAAUGCACCGCAGAUCAGAACAGAGAUCGCAGGCACCAGGAGUUGACUGCUUGGCUCAAUCAAAGAGGCAGACGUCGCGGCUGAAGUUGUCAUGGCUCCAGAGGACUUUGUGGGAUGCUGUGAUGGAUUGAUGGUAGUUAUGUUGCGUGAGGACGUGGACGUUUCUGGAAGCUUCCUGGAGGUUACGUGAGUGGAGGCAUGGCCGUGCAGUGGUGUGGUCACUGAUGCGGGUUGGGUGGCAGUUGGUUUGGUGUUGUUGCUGGUCACUGUUGCAUUUGUGGAUGUUGUAAGAAUCUCCUACAAAACAAAAAGAAAAAAACUGUUUGCAUUGCACAAGAGAGGUGAUAAAUCAGAGCACAGACUUUUUGGGGAAAAAAGC